rnacentral:rRNA from 1 species
ACGGAGGGGGCUAGCGUUGUUCGGAAUUACUGGGCGUAAAGCGCGCGUAGGCGGCUUUGUAAGUUAGAGGUGAAAGCCCGGAGCUCAACUCCGGAACUGCCUUUAAGACUGCAUCGCUAGAACGAUGGAGAGGUAAGUGGAAUUCCGAGUGUAGAGGUGAAAUUCGUAGAUAUUCGGAAGAACACCAGAGGCGAAGGCGACUUACUGGACCGGUAUUGACGCUGAGGCGCGAAAGCCAGGGGAGCAAACAGGA